rnacentral:rRNA from 1 species
UACGGGGGGGGCAAGCGUUGUUCGGAAUUACUGGGCGUAAAGGGCUCGUAGGCGGCCAACUAAGUCCGACGUGAAAUCCCAAGGCUUAACCUUGGAACUGCGUCGGAUACUGGAUGGCUUGAAUUCGGGAGAGGGAUGCAGAAUUCCAGGUGUAGCGGUGAAAUGCGUAGAUAUGCGGAGGAACACCGAUGGCGAAGGCAAUCCCCUGGGCCUGCACUGACGCUCAUGCACGAAAGCGUGGGGAGCAAACGGG